rnacentral:lncRNA from 1 species
ACUUGUGAGGUGGUUUAGUUCCAGCGGUGACUCUUCUGUCUCUCUGGCUUUACGGCAAGGCGUAGAAACGACACUCAUGUUGGUGGUCGGUUUUCUGGGUUAAGGGACUUGACCGGUUUUAUUUUUUUGGUGGCUUCCAGUUUUCAUUGCUCUUGUGGGGGAGGAUUGGCUUGGUCUCACUCUGAGUCGGUGGAUGUCUUAACUGGUUUAGAGUAGUUGGUCAGGUGAUUUUUGAGGGACUAGUCUCUUCUCAUAGCGGUGGUUAUGGGACGGCCCCCUCUCCUCGUUGUCACAAGGCUCAGUUCCAGCUUG